AAAACGGAAUCCAAUUUUUACAAGAGCGAGUUUGUAUCCCCUGUCAGCAGUGCAGCUGAAAAAAACAGACCAUUUAUAUAGAAGUUAGAAUAAAUUGCAAUUAAAGAAUUCGCAAAGUAUUGAAAUAUUGUGCAACAUACAAGCAUUUUGAUAAAAUAAAAUUCUAAUAUAUAAUAAAAAGUAAUUAAAGUGUGUGUGUUUAUCUUCAACGUUUAGAUUUGUUUACAAUCAUGGUGAAGAAACGUGUUCUUUCUGAGCAGAGUAAGGAAGAGCUUAUGUUAAUAACAAUUGGAGAGAUUAUACAAGAGUUAUUAAAGGCCCAUGAUGAAAAUCGAGAUGUUGAUCUGAACAAAUUGAAAACACGAAUAGCUUCAAAGUAUGGCUUGGAUUCCUCUCCUAGAUUAGUUGAUAUUAUAGCAGCAGUACCUAGUAAUGCUAAGCAUAUACUUAUACCAAAGUUGAAAGCUAAACCUGUGAGGACAGCUAGCGGAAUCGCUGUUGUAGCAGUAAUGUGCAAACCUCACAGAUGUCCACAUAUUAAUAUGACAGGAAAUAUCUGUGUGUAUUGCCCUGGAGGACCAGAUUCUGAUUUUGAAUACUCGACACAAUCUUAUACUGGAUAUGAGCCUACAUCAAUGAGAGCAAUACGUGCAAGAUAUGAUCCUUUCUUGCAAACUAGACAUCGUGUUGAACAAUUGAAACAGUUGGGACACAGUGUUGACAAAGUUGAGUUUAUUGUCAUGGGAGGUACUUUCAUGUCCUUGCCAGAGGAUUACAGGGAUUAUUUCAUACGAAAUUUACAUGAUGCAUUGUCUGGCCAUGUAAGCAGUAACGUUGAUGAAGCAGUCAAGUUUUCUGAACGUAGCCGCACAAAAUGUAUUGGUAUUACUAUAGAAACUCGGCCUGAUUACUGUCUCAAGAAACACCUUUCAGAUAUGUUACGUUAUGGAUGUACACGUUUGGAAAUUGGUGUACAGUCUGUAUAUGAGGAUAUAGCACGUGAUACCAACAGAGGGCACACAGUACGUGCUGUGUGUGAAAGUUUUCAACUAGCAAAGGAUGCUGGGUUUAAAGUGAUAGCUCACAUGAUGCCAGAUUUGCCAAAUGUUGACAUUGAACGAGACAUUUGUCAGUUUAUCGAAUUUUUCGAAAACCCCGCAUUUCGAGCGGACGGAUUAAAAAUUUAUCCGACACUGGUUAUACGUGGUACUGGCUUGUACGAGUUGUGGAAAACCGGCAGAUAUAAAAGUUACGCACCUAGCGUGCUUGUUGAUCUUAUAGCUCGUAUUCUGGCUCUGAUACCACCGUGGACUCGCGUCUAUCGCGUGCAACGCGAUAUACCUAUGCCAUUGGUUAGUUCUGGUGUAGAACAUGGGAAUCUUCGCGAAUUAGCUUUAGCCAGAAUGAAGGAUCUGGGUACAGAUUGUCGUGACGUUAGGACACGCGAGGUCGGAAUACAAGAAAUACAUCAUAAAGUGAAACCAUAUGAAGUUGAGCUUAUAAGACGUGAUUAUGUGGCUAGUAACGGGUGGGAAACAUUUUUAUCGUACGAAGAUCCUAUGCAAGAUAUUCUGAUUGGUUUACUCAGGCUGAGAAAGUGUUCUAAAGGAACGUUUAGAUCAGAAUUAAAGGAAAAAACUUCUAUAGUAAGAGAGCUUCAUGUUUAUGGCAGUGUUGUGCCUGUGAGCGCUCGGGAUCCUACAAAAUUCCAACAUCAAGGUUUUGGGACUUUGCUUAUGCAAGAGGCUGAAAGAAUUGCUAAAGAGGAACAUGAAUCUCACAAGAUUUCUGUCAUUUCAGGUGUAGGCACUCGUAAUUAUUAUCGAAAAUUAGGUUAUGAACUUGAUGGUCCAUACAUGUCCAAAAUGCUUGUAUAACAAGGUGUAGGCACUCGUAAUUAUUAUCGAAAAUUAGGUUAUGAACUUGAUGGUCCAUACAUGUCCAAAAUGCUUGUAUAACAAGGUGUAGGCACUCGUAAUUAUUAUCGAAAAUUAGGUUAUGAACUUGAUGGUCCAUACAUGUCCAAAAUGCUUGUAUAACAAGGUAAAAAUCGAAUUAAAAUAAGCUGCUUGUAUAACAAAAUAAUAAAACAGACAUUAAGACAA